rnacentral:lncRNA from 1 species
AAAUUUUAAGUCACUGGAUGUGACAAGGAAAAAUUUUUCUAAGUUACUGGACCAGACAAUCAUCGAUUGUUUGGUUUUUUCUGGAAAAAUUUCAAGUCACUGGAUGUGACAAGGAAAAAUUUCUUACUGGACCAGACAAUCGAUUGUCAAAUCCAGACAAUCGAUUGUCAGGUAUAAUUUAAAAACAUUUCAUCUCACUGGAGUGUAUACAAUCGAUUGUACNN